rnacentral:misc_RNA from 1 species
UUUGAACUGGGUCACUCUCUGGUCCGCGUUUCAGCAGCCAGUUUUGGUACAGAUCAGUGAUCAUUGUUCUUUCUAUGUUUAUUUGAUAUUUUCUUUCGAUCUCCACUUCCGUUUCAGGUUUUCUUUAGUGUUCAAUAUUACCAUGUUAUGAUUUUCUAGCAUUUCUUGUGAUUGGACUCUCUAGUUUUCAGUACGUUUGGUUUAUGCCCUUUCAGAUCAAAUUCAUUCUCAAUUUUAAAGUUUUUAGUAUUUCUCGUGCGUAUAGUAGCAAUAAAGGGUGGUUCUUGUUUUUGGAUUUACUGGUUUUAAUCUGGCUUUGGAGUCUGAUAAGAAUUCAGUAGAUCUGAUACACGUGUCCUUUAAAUGGAUUUGCAUUUGAAGAGCCUGUUUGAUAGAUUCCAGGAGCAAUUUGGAUCUGGUCCGGGGCUUGGUCCUGGUUCAGGGACCUGCUUGAUGACGGUGGAGGGUAUUGCUCCUAAUUUCAUCAAGUCAAUUUACAAAGCUUGCGCUGCACUUUACAGAACUGAUCCAUGGAGAAGAUUGCGUCCACCACAUUUUUUUUGGAAUCCGGGUAGGGAAGGACUCAGAUUGGUCCAGCAAGAAACAACCUUUCCCAUGUGUUCAGUUCAUAGGAGGUGAUGGUGGGGAUGUUGGCUUUUACUUGUUUCGAUCUGAAAAUGAUGCUAAGAAGAUGACAGGGUCUAGAGAGACAAUUUGUGUUCCUAAUGUUGAGCUUUUGAGGGUCACAUAUGAACCUGAAUCGUUGAUGUUUCCUUCUAAUAGGAAAAUGAUCAAGUCGUUGUCACUGGAAGUAUCAGGUACUGAUAGAUUUCCUGUAAUUGAUGUUGCACGUUGUAUGUCUUCUGGUGUUCUUCGGUUUAGACAUCCAACUCUUGAGGAGCUUAGGUUUGUGUAUGCGUUAGUGAAAGCCAUGUCUCUGGUGCAUCCUUUACUUCAGGAAGAUAAAGAAGGUGCUCCAAAGUGGUCAAAGUUGAUGUAUUUUGAACCAUUUAUUGAGACUGUUGACGUUAACUGGCCUCCAGAAAUGGCCAAGGGUUACGACCUUGUUGCAGUUACAAUCUCGCAUCCGCCUGGUCAAGCAUAUGAGGAAAAGGGAAGCUCGACAGCGAGCUCGACACCCACCAAGUAUGCUGAACGACCCAGGGAAGAGAUCUUUAUUGAUAUGAGAGCAAACUCAAAUUCCAACUUGAGGAAGUGCAUAAUGUGUGAGAAAGAAGUUCAUGGAGAACAGGCUCUCUCUUGUGGGCAGUGUCGAGCAGUGGUCUACUGUGAUUCUUUCUGCCAGAAGCAGCACUGGAAGGAAACACAUAAGAGCAUGUGCGGCCUUUACAAGGCUAUGAUGGAAAGGGAAGAAGAGCUAGUAAUAAAAAUCUUUGUGUUCCCCUGUUCUGCUGAACAACCCUGUAAAUGGCUCGAGUCAUUAGGUGUCCAUCAGAAAGGAAUGUGGAGGAGAAAGUGUAGCUGCUAUUCUCACUGCCCCUUUGGACUCCUUCCUGUUAAAGGUGGAUUGUGGAAUUCAUGGGGUGGGCUGGACGACAAUGAGUAUCCUCGUGAUUCACCUUUUCUCAACCAUUUAGGAGAUGGGAUAUCGAGCCCAAUCCUUCUUUCUGGUUGGCCAGAGUACUAUAAUCUUCGGUCACUGCCACUGUCAAGCCCUGUUGCUGACAUUCUUUCUCACCCACUGACAGUUUAUUACAUUUUGACUACCCU